rnacentral:rRNA from 1 species
AAUGAACGUUGGCGGCGUGGAUUAGGCAUGCAAGUCGAACGAGAACCCCGCAAGGGGUGAAAGUGGCAAACGGCGUAGUAAGGCGUAGGUGACGUACCUCCCGAUUCGGGAUAGCUACGGGAAACUGUAGGUAAUACCGGAUAAUCCCUCCGAGAUUGAAAAUCGGAGUGCAAAGGUGUGAUUCCGUCAGGAGAGCGGCUUACGUGGUAUUAGCUAGUUGGUGAGGUAACGGCUCACCAAGGCUUCGAUGCCUAGGGGGUGUUAGCGCAUGACCCCCACGACUGGGACUGAGAUACUGCCCAGACACCUACGGGUGGCUGCAGUCGAGAAUCUUCGGCAAUGGGCGCAAGCCUGACCGAGCGACGCCGCGUGUGGGAUGAAGGCCCUUGGGUUGUAAACCACUGUCAGAGGGGAUGAAAUGCGGGUGGGUUCUCCCACUUCCGUUGACUAUACGCCUCAGAGGAGCGACGGGACUAAGUUCGUCGCCAGCACGCCGACGGUAAUAGUCACGUCGC